GGCCGUGUGGCGUAAUGGCAACGCGUCUGACUACGAAGCGUUAUCAGGAGAUUGCAGGUUCGACCCCUGUCUCGGUCA
rnacentral:tRNA from 1 species